rnacentral:snRNA from 1 species
UGGCUUCUCGUCAGAUCAUAUAAAUCUUUUGCCUUUUACUAAAGAUUUCUGUGGAAAGAGGAGCAUUUUU